rnacentral:lncRNA from 1 species
GUGAGGCUCCCUGCUCAGCUCCCAGGGCUGCUAAUGCACUGGGUCCUGACCCAGCCUCUACUCUCCCUGCCCGUCACCCCUGGAAAGCCAGCCUCUAUCUCCUGUAGAUCCAGUCAUAGCCCCUUUCACAGUAAUGGAUACACCUAUUUGAAUUGGGACCUACAGAAGCCAGGCCAGCCUCCACGGCUCCUGAUUGAUUUGGUUUCCAACAGGGACCCUGGAGUCCCAGACAGGUUCAGUGGCAGUGGGUCGGGGACAGAUUUCAUGUUUAAAAUAAGGAGGAUGGAUGCUGAGGAUGUUGGGGUUUAUUGCUGCCAGCAAAGUACACAUUAUUCUCCCACAAUGGU